rnacentral:rRNA from 6 species
UUCUGAAUGUUGACCUCGGAUCAGGUAGGAAUACCCGCUG